GAUAGGCGGACAAAGGCAGUUUUUCUUCCUGUCGCAGUUUCUGGAUAAGGGGUCUCACACGGCGAAGUUCGUGAUACCGUAGACCAAAGACAUCGACAUUGGGGUGCUCUUGCUUUUAUUCCCCCAAUCAAAAUGAGAAUUUCCUUUGUCUUUAUUCUUGUCUCUCCAUCGAAAAGGAAUGGAUUGGAUAAUAACUGCUUAGUGAAUGUUAUUCCAAACGUUACCCCUAAAGAAAAUUAUUAUCCAUUUACAGUGUUGUACUUUUCCUAGGAAGUGAAGAUCUCCAAUUUUUAUCAUCUACAUUUAUCAGCUGCCAUCGUCAGCCCAGAUGGUCAUCCUUUUUAAGUGACUUCAAAGUUGCUCCAACACAUGGUGAGCCCACCAUCAAUGUGACUGAUCUAAGGACUAAAACAUACAUAUCCAUAUUGACUGGAAAUCCUCAUACCCCUUGGUGCAUUGCUUGCCAUCUUCAUUGAAAUAUCAUCCUAGAAACAGGAUGUCUUGGAGGCAAGUGUCUGAAGUUUGUGUUUGGGGCUUGUCUGUAAGAGUGGGAGAAAAAUGUGGUCAGCAGCAACCACAGAAGUUAACACAGCGAUUACUUCACUUCUUGUAUUUCUGGGAUUGGGAUAUUCCACAUUUGCCAAAUAACGUACAGCCAAUAAGAAGCAGAAACUCUGGUAUUUUCUUCUUUAUCUAUCACUCAUCCAACCAAUAGCCUCCCCUUACAUGAAUACGUCAGUUUUGACCCUUUGUGUAGUUUGUUACUUGCUAGAAUAUCCAACACUUGUGGCAUAUCUGAAUUUGUGUCUGGUGUAAUAAGUGGCCCUUGAACAUUAUGAGGUCCUUCUCGAGUUCUGAAUCCUAUACUGUACCGACUCGACUCGAGUGCAAUUAACGCAACCUUCUAAGCCGUUAUCAAUCAUGAUUUACGAAAGUACGAAAGACUACGAGUUCGUUAUCAGGAACUACGCCUUCGCGAUGCAGAACUGGAACUUAACGCCUCCGGCUGUAGUCAGUGGACCAUCAGCAGCAGCAACAACAACUUCCUUUCAUAUUAAUAGCGAAGUGCAUCCACUUCUGUCGCACCAACUCCUGUUAGCGUUCCUUUCGCUCCCAUAGUUGAACCGUCCAUAAGUAACAGUAGCCGCUCCCACCCCCUUCUGUUGAAUCAAAUAUAUUGAACGCCUCUCCGUCCAGCGACAGGUUCUGGCGCACGCUGAUGAACGCGGCCGAGAAUCUGCCAUCAGUCUCUUCGUCCUUUGAUAGAAUGGCUAGAGUCUCAUUUCCGACCUCAGCGUUAGCCAAUGAGCAUAUUGACCCAGCUGAACGAAGCCAGCCGCUGUAGCCAACCGCAUUGUACAAGUAACGAUGGUUCCAUGGCCGCUGGAGAAGUCAGAUUGAUGGCGGCGGUGCGUCUACGCCCACUCUUUCAGAUGUGACGGAUAAAUCCACCGCAACGCCACAGUCGAGUCCUAUUCGUUCACCUCGGGAAGUGGAACAGCAAAUGAGGUAAACGAACUAAACAUUAAUCGCUUCAUGAGGACAGCAAUUUUUUGCCUGAUAAUUUAUUUGACAGGCUUCUGUGAAGAGGGUAUUUGUUUCAAGUGGUUAAUGUGAAGCUGAAUAAUAUGGGUUAACGGCGGCGGAAGCAGUAACACUCCCAGCUCUCAACAGCCAUAGCGUUAUCAACGACCAAAAACGAACUCUUUAUUUUCUCUUUCUUAUUGAUGUUUUAAUAUGAUGGAAUGAAUUUGACAUCACCAUUAACAACGGCACCUUUCACAGUCAUCAACAAACUUUGCGAAACAUGCCAAAAUUGUUAGGUUAGUGCAGCACCCUUACUUUUUAUUUAAAAAAUUGUAGCGCCACACCCAUCUGCAGUUCUGCACUGAAGAUUUGUAAACGGAAAGCGGAAUUGCCUUGUGAAACUCAAUAUUUGUUCCUCUUUAUUUACUAUAUCUACGGCCAUAUCUAAAUGAAAUCCCAUGGCGAUGAAAGUGCUCCCCUCCCCCUUUGCUGAAUUUUCGACGUAAUCUUUUCUAUUCGUCCUCUUGUUUGAAACUAUAAAUG
rnacentral:lncRNA from 1 species